rnacentral:rRNA from 1 species
GAUGGACGCUGGCGGCGUGCCUAAUACAUGCAAGUCGAGCGAACUGAUUAGAAGCUUGCUUCUAUGACGUUAGCGGCGGACGGGUGAGUAACACGUGGGCAACCUGCCUGUAAGACUGGGAUAACUUCGGGAAACCGAAGCUAAUACCGGAUAGGAUCUUCUCCUUCAUGGGAGAUGAUUGAAAGAUGGCUUCGGCUAUCACUUACAGAUGGGCCCGCGGUGCAUCAGCUAGUUGGUGAGGUAACGGCUCACCAAGGCAACGAUGCAUAGCCGACCUGAGAGGGUGAUCGGCCACACUGGGACUGAGACACGGCCCAGACUCCUACGGGAGGCAGCAGUAGGGAAUCUUCCGCAAUGGACGAAAGUCUGACGGAGCAACGCCGCGUGAGUGAUGAAGGCUUUCGGGUCGUAAAACUCUGUUGUUAGGGAAGAACAAGUACGAGAGUAACUGCUCGUACCUUGACGGUACCUAACCAGAGAGCCACGGCUAACUACGUGCCAGCAGCCGCCGUAAAAC